UACGUAGGGUGCGAGCGUUAAUCGGAAUUACUGGGCGUAAAGCGUGCGCAGGCGGUUUUGUAAGCUAGAUGUGAAAUCCCCGGGCUUAACCUGGGAAUGGCAUUUGGGACUGCAAGGCUUGAGUGCGGCAGAGGAGACUAGAAUUCCUGGUGUAGCAGUGAAAUGCGUAGAUAUCAGGAGGAAUACCGAUGGCGAAGGCAGGUCUCUGGGCUGACACUGACGCUCAUGCACGAAAGCGUGGGGAGCAAACAGG
rnacentral:rRNA from 1 species